GUGGGGGCCUCCGGCGGGGGGCUGGGCCUCCCCUCUGGCAAAACGCCAGGGCAAACGGUCCAUAACGGCCGCCGUAGCUUAGGGAAGGUAGAUUAACUCACUACGAUCCAACCGUAGGCUAUGAAGUAAGCAUAUCCGUGGGGCAGAUAUUAUAGCGAACCUGGUGAGGUCCGAAAGGAAGCAGCCAUAAGCUAUAAUAUCUGCGUUCACGGAUAUGCUUACUAGCCGAAGGUUGGGUAAAUCGUAGUGGGUUAAUCUAUCGACCCUAAGCGCGCCCCCAC
rnacentral:SRP_RNA from 1 species